UUGUUAACCAUAAUUAAAUACAGGGGUGGUGCACGAAUGAAUUGUGGUGGUGCAUGAAGAAAAACAUUAAAUCUGCCCUAAAAACGCACAACACAAGUUAAACAUGAGACCUAAACCUUACUUCAUCUUCUUCUUUCCAGCAAAACACCAUAGCCACCCCAACUUGAGACCUUGACCGUCUGCAGCGACGCGGCCAACAACGGCGUCGGCCGCCAUCGCACCACCACCAACAGCGACAACAACCACCGCUCAUCUCCAAAAUCCAAGAUUGUUUCAACUGUGACUCACCUCUCCUUUGCCGUGACCACCCUACCAACAACGGUGAGACCACUGUGAACUACCUUUAAUAAAGGAUUCCAACACCAACCAUGGCUGCCCCACGAUUUCCAGAAUAGCAAUGCUCACUACCAAGCCUCUAUUUGUUUGAAGCAGCAUCAAAUGAAGGGAUUCACAAUUCAAACCAUUAUCGCAUAACAAUAAAUAGAAUGAGCAGAGCAUCGUAUCAAAAAUUGAAGAUUGAAGAUUACGUACCUUAUUUAAUGUCUCAAUUUUGUUUUUCUAUCACUGUUAUCCUAUGUUCUUGAUUCUAAAUGUUGUUGUUUA